CCUACGGGUGGCAGCAGUGAGGAAUAUUGGUCAAUGGGCGUAAUCCUGAACCAGCCAUGUCGCGUGCGGGAUGACGGCUCUAUGAGUCGUAAACCUCUUUUAUACGGGGGUAAAAUGCUCGACGUGUCGCGUUUUGUAAGUACCUUAUGAAUAAGGAUCGGCUAACUCCGUGCCAGCAGCCGCGGUAAUACGGAGGAUCCGAGCGUUAUCCGGAUUUAUUGGGUUUAAAGGGUGCGUAGGUUGUCUUAUAAGUUAGCGGUGAAAUACCGAUGCUCAACAACGGGGCUGCCGUUGAUACUGUGAGACUUGAGAUGGUAUGAGGCAGGCGGAAUGUGUGGUGUAGCGGUGAAAUGCUUAGAUAUUACGCAGAACCCCGAUUGCGAAGGCAGCUUGCCAGGCCAGAUCUGACGCUGAUGCACGAAAGCGUGGGGAUCGAACAGGAUUAGAUACCCGAGUAGUC
rnacentral:rRNA from 1 species